AUUGAACGCUGGCGGCAGGCUUAACACAUGCAAGUCGAGCGGAGUUGUGGUGCUUGCACCAUAACUUAGCGGCGGACGGGUGAGUAAUGCUUAGGAAUCUGCCUAUUAGUGGGGGACAACAUCUCGAAAGGGAUGCUAAUACCGCAUACGUCCUACGGGAGAAAGCAGGGGACCUUUGGGCCUUGCGCUAAUAGAUGAGCCUAAGUCGGAUUAGCUAGUUGGUGGGGUAAAGGCCUACCAAGGCGACGAUCUGUAGCGGGUCUGAGAGGAUGAUCCGCCACACUGGGACUGAGACACGGCCCAGACUCCUACGGGAGGCAGCAGUGGGGAAUAUUGGACAAUGGGGGGAACCCUGAUCCAGCCAUGCCGCGUGUGUGAAGAAGGCCUUUUGGUUGUAAAGCACUUUAAGCGAGGAGGAGGCUACUGGUAUUAAUACUACCGGAUAGUGGACGUUACUCGCAGAAUAAGCACCGGCUAACUCUGUGCCAGCCGCCGCGGUAACAC
rnacentral:rRNA from 1 species